GCCCGCGCCGCCAGCAGAGGGCGCUCCGACCCAGCAGGUGCCAGCCCGGCCGGCCUCGCGGAAGGAGCGCCAGCCAGGUGAGCCCGGCCCGUGCACUUGCUAGUGAGUCCCCGCCUCUAACCUAAGGCAGCGCUCCUGGAAGUGAUCUCGGUGCUCAAGGCGGCAAAGUUCCUGUAACAGGAUAAGACCGUAAGGAAUGCGUUGAAUGAUGCCAUUGUUCUCGUUGGAAAAAACCUGGGUGGUCACAUGUCUAAGGAUCUUGGGCGGUGAGGAGAUACCUUUCUUCAGGAAACCAUUUGUAGAAGUGAUUCCUAUCAGUGAUUCAACUCUGGUUCCCGACGUCCAGCCGCAUGUCUGCAUGCUCCUGCAGGGAAGGUCAGUCUCCCCUGUGGAACAGCAAGCGAGUGAGGACCUCAUGGGCACAGUGCACUCUGUUCAUCUGUUCAUGCUGCUGGGGCCCUUGAGAUGAUUCCUCCCUGUGCCUGAGAUGUCCAGACUCAGUCUCUUCCACUCUCUACCUGGCUGGCUUCUCCUAAUCCCUCAGUUCCAGCUCGAAGGUUAACCAGCUCAGAUGUGGCCCUUCCCACCAGCUCUGCAUGGCCAGGCACCUAAACUCCAUACAGUGGGAUGUGUGCAGUUUCAGAAUUAUACCUUCAAAAAGAAGGAAGCAUGCGAACCUGUCCCCCCUCCCCUCUUCCUGCUAGCUGUAAUGCCGAUGUAAUGGUAUGGUCUGGAUCACGUGUUGGAUCCCAGAUAGAAGCGCUUGUUGAAGAUGACUGACCAACAAUAGAGAAUGACUCCUUGAGACCGUGGAGGCAUCAUAUCAACCUUGGAUUGUGAACAUCAUGUCAACCUUGUAGAAAAAUAAACCGUCAUCUUGUCUAGGCCUGCAUCGUCUAAUAUGGUAGCCAUCAGCCACAUGGGGCUAUUGGACAGUGAAAGUGUGGCUGGUGUCACACACUGAAAGUUUUGAUAUAUUGGAUUGAAUAAAAUAUGCUGUUAAAAGGAA